UCGGGAAUUUUGGGCAAUGGGCGAAAGCCUGACCCAGCAACGCCGCGUGAGGGAUGAAGUAUUUCGGUAUGUAAACCUCGAAAGAAUGGGAAGAAUAAAUGACGGUACCAUUUAUAAGCUCCGGCUAACUACGUGCCAGCAGCCGCGGUAAUACGUAGGGAGCAAGCGUUGUUCGGAUUUACUGGGCGCAAAGGGCGCGUAGGCGGCGCGGUAAGUCACUUGUGAAAUCUCUGAGCUUAACUCAGAACGGCCAAGUGAUACUGCUGUGCUAGAGUGCGGAAGAGGCUACCGGAAUUCUUGGUGUAGCGGUGAAAUGCGUAGAUAUCAAGAGGAACACCUGAGGCGAAGGCGGGUUGCUGGGCCGACACUGACGCUGAUGCGCGAAAGCCAGG
rnacentral:rRNA from 1 species